UACAACCAACUUUUGAAAAUGAGAAUGAAGUAGAAUUAUUGUUCAGUAAAUUUCAUUGGUCCUGCAAUUCCUUAGAAAUUUUAUUUUAUCUCACUGGGUCUUGAGUUCCUAUGGCGGAAUUUUGAUUUGAUUUGAUUUAUCUAUUUGUGUCUUGUGAGUACGUGUUGUUUUCAGUGAGUUUCUGUAAAUUUCUUAUGUUUCAUGUCAUCUGAUUCUAUCCAUCAAUGGCAGAAUUUAUGUGCAAUUUCGUUCAUAAAGUUGUGCAGCGGUGGGGUUCUUUACCUAUACGAGGUUUCAACCAAGAGACAAUCACUUCAAAACUCAAAACCGAUUCUCCACAGGUUCUUUAUGGUUUGGCAAGUAAGUUGAUCAAGAAACCUAAGAAAUUGGAAUUACUUCUGGAUAAAUAUGGGCUAGGUGUUCGAUCAACUGCCUUUAGAAGUCAGACAUCUAGUGGAGAGCAGAGCUCUCCUGGUGGUGGUGGCGAGGACCAUAUAAUUGAGGGUUGUUAUCUAGGCCAUGAGUCUUUUGCCACGGUAGGCUCAUCCGACCUGGCCUCACCAGCAUUGAAUAAUACACCAUCUGCUUCAGAUCAGAGUGUAGGGGCCUCUGCUCUGCCUCAGAACAGAAACGGUGAUGAGCAGCCACCGCCAGACAGAUCAUUAUCUGAUAUGGAGGUAGGCUCAUCCGACCUGGCCUCACCAGCAUUGAAUAAUACACCAUCUGCUUCAGAUCAGAGUGUAGGGGCCUCUGCUCUGCUUCAGAACAGAGACGGUGAUGAGCAGCCACCGCCAGACAGAUCAUUAUCUGAUCUGGAGCGCGGAGUAGCCCCUCCAGCUGAAAGACAGCUCAAUCCUUCAAGUGUGGCCCAGAUAUGCCUCCCCCUCAGUUGUGGGGUGUGUAUCGCUCCGUUACAAAUUUGGUAUGCUGGGACCUCUUUGACACCCAAUGCGAAAAUUCUCUUGCUAUUUGUGGGGAUUUUUGGUGUUGCUGGAUUGCUAUUGAGCUUUGGUGCUUAUUGGUUUCAGAGAAAGCGCAAAACUUCUGGAGUGAUGACAGUGAUGGGAUGUGUUUUUACAAUUUGCGGUUUUUUGUCGAUCUUGGGCACACGAUUUCCUGAGAAAGCCAUGAUAUGGCUUACAGCUGCUCUUUGGACACUGCCCAUUGUUGCAUCACCUUUUGCAUUGAAGGAGUUAGUUUAAUCUGUAUGGAUUUCCAUUUAUUCACAUAAGAAGCUGUGUAACUUGUAUGGCCAAUGACAUGUAUGUCAUUCCGUAUCACUUCUCUGUUAAUUUGGAAACUGGUUGGGAAGUAUCAAAAUUGUAAGCGUGGGAACAAUUAAUUCAUCUUCACUUUCUCAUCAGUCAUCAGAACUGAAGCAUAGACGUGUCUAGAAUUUGAUAAUGAGGAGGAGCAAACAUGAUUAUGAUAACUGCACCUUUUGCUUUCUGCACAUUGCAAAUACAGAGUUGAGAUUUUGAAGGGCAUUUUGCUCCUGAUCUGAAAUCUCUCUUCUAUUUUGAAGUGGAGAUCGCGUAUUCUGACAAAAACAUAUGCUACGUGCAUGGAGAAACCCGCCUGAUUUAUCUUGUCCAAAAAGAAUUUUUACCCUUUUGUUCCCCUCAAGAUAUGCAAGAAAUGAUUUGAAAAUGCAUUAAAAUAUUAUUGCGAGUCUCACAGAGAAAACAAUCGCUUGCUCAAACUACUUAGCUUCUUAUGAUUACAUAAAUUAGUUUCUUAGAUGCAUAGGAUAUAACAUGACCAAUAACUUAAUCUAUCACCAACAUUCUACAGAUACGACCCUUCAAUUUCCUCCAAAUUCAAUGCCUGAAUCUUUCGUAUUUCUCAAGUACAAAGUUUCAAGGAUACGGCAUCACAAUUUACAUAUCAUGAAAUUCUAAAAGUAUUGGAAUCAAAACCUAGGAUAUAAGCGUGUGUUUUCUUGUUCAAGGAUGAAACCAACCAAGGCAGCCAUCGUUGUAGUUUAAAGAUUUUUUGACAGCGAAAGUUUUCUUGGGAAGGCUCUUUCCCCCACGCGAAUCAACGAAGAGGCAUUUCGUAUUGCUUUCCUACGAAUUUGGGAACCAGUUGGGGAGUGUGACAAUUCAAAGCCUGGGGAACAAAAAAUUCAUCUUCAUAUUCUCAUCAGAAAUGGAAACGUGUCCUGCUUCUGAUAACGAGGACCAAAACAGAGUAUGACAACUCUAGCUUUUGAUUGAUAACAACAAAUUCAUUUUUGGAAUUCGGGAUUGUUUUUCUGCUCAUUGUGAGUACCGUACAGGGUUGAGAUUUUGAAGGGCAUUUGCUCCUUAACUGAAAUCUCUCUUCUACGAGGUGAAAAUUAUGUAUUUCUGACAAAUACAUAUGCUGCCAGCAUGGAGAAACCUGUCUGAUUUGUGUUGUCAAAUAACAAUUUUACCCCUUUUAACCCCCUUACGAUAUACAAGAAACAAUUUGAAAAUGUAUGAAAAGGAUUAUUGUUAAUCUCACCGAGAAAACAGUAUCUUUGAUUACAAAGAUUAGGUUCUCAGAUGCUUAGGAUAUAACAAGACCAGUAACUUAAUCUAUCACGAGCUGAACAUACUACCCUUCAAAUUCAAUGCCUGAAUCUUUCAUGUUUCUCAAGUACAAAGUUUAGAGGAUCUAGCAGUAUCACAAAUUACAUACCAUGAAACUCUUAGGUAUUGGAAUCAAAACCUAAAAUAACAUGUAUUACAUAAAUCACAUAUCUUGGAAGACAAUGCAUUCCUGCAAGAAAUAUUGGAAUCAGACCUCAAUUGAAGUGAAUACAUUAAAAAGUAGAACAAUUCAAAUCAGGUGCAAAACUUCACCCCAAGGUUUAAACUGUUCAAGAAUAAUGUCUAACAUGCCCCUCACAUUUAACUUGAAUCAGGUAAUUUUGAGAUAACAAUCUCUUCAUACACUGCAAUUAUUAAAUUUUCCAUAGAGAAAUAAGAUGGUCUAGCUAAUUAAUUCUGGAGCUUACAAAGAUGGAAUCUUGUUAAACAUAUUAGCAUCAAGCAACAUGGCUUCAACUAACUUAAAGAGAGCUCUUCAAAAGCAGGACGACAGGUCUUUCAAAAUACCUACAUAUCUGCAGAUGAAGAAUGAAUCAGCCCUGCCCUCAUUUAGCCGCAACAGCUAGAAACCUGAAUAAACCAGCUGCCUGAACAUAAUCUCCGUAAACAAGGCAUGUGCCGGGAUUUAUUACGAACUGGAUUGCUGCACAUUGCCCUUCAAAUUGAUUGCUUGAAUCUUUUAUGAUAUGCAAAAGGAUACUUUAGUGGGAUUAGAUCUUGAAAGACAUUAUCCUCAUUGAUUUUUUCCAGAACAGAGUCUGUCAAAGGAGGGCAGAAAUGAAAAAAAAAGCCCUUGCUUGGUCGUGAGUGGAAGGUUAGAGCAAAGCCUAAACUCCUAAUUGUCUAAAGUAUUGAAAUAGCUUUCAAAACUAUCAGUGGCUAUUACUACUCCAAAACUUGCAGACACUUCAGUUGUGAUUUUUUUUUUUUUUUUCCCAGGGGAAGGGCAGGGGAAUCAAAGAACAUAUAUUAACUUGUAGAGGACCCUCUCAUCGCAGAUGUCUGUCUAAGACUAUCGGUCUACAUAGCACAUAGUUCUCCUACAAUGAUUUCUGCGGACUAGUUUCUAACUUCCUAUGGAGAUUCCCCUUGGUUUAAUUCUGAAAAGGGAGGAAAGGUGUACUCAAUGAUAUCAGAACCAAAAAUAUGGAUGGAUUAGAUGAAGUAAAAUAGAUUCAACUGAAACGAAGAACUAAUUAUAUAAUUAGAUAACCCUCUGUCUCAAAAGUUCCAACAAGACCUGCAUUGUUUGAAGUACCAUAUACAUAUUCGAUUAUAAAUCCAAGGCCAACUUAGUAUUCAAAGGUCUAAGAUGCAAUAUACAUGAAUUUGUUAUCCAUCUAAUUAAAUCAGCAGAAAAAGAACAAUAUUUAAAUAUUACAAAUCUAACACAGCUAGAUAAAUUUGGAAAUAAAAAAGAUGCAACUUUGCUUAUUGUUUGCUGGCGAAGCAACUUACCUUCAAUUAACUAGUUCAUAAACAGAGCCGAUCUUUCUGAAUCUGAAAACUAGGACAGAAUCUACUUCGUCCUCAUUCAGCUGCCGUAGUUUGACCCCCGAACAAACCAGCUUGAAAAUUUCAAGAAACGAGGCACAGGCCAGGAUUGAUAAAGCCGAUGCCAGGGAAACCACCGAAAUUACGAGGUAAUAUCUCUGAACUGUUGCAUACUGCCGCCGGGAAUUGAUUCCGAUCAACAACCCGCUAGAUGCUGCGGCGAAGGAGAGCAUGACGGCGAAAACCAGGGCGUGAAACAGAGAGGGGUGUGCUGCAAACAGGAAAGUCGGCACGGGACUUCCAUUGAAGUUUUGAUGAGGGAGAAACAAAAUGAGUAAAGCGAUUGCGAAGGAUGAAUACAAUAUGAAGAUUAACAAUCGGGUUUCGAGUUUUUCUUGGCUUGAAGAAACAUCAUGAGUUUCUGAGUCAAUCGUCUCUUUCUCAAGAUUCAUUUGAGGUCUUGCAUACGCAUGUCGAAUUCGGGAUUAGAUUGGGGAGGGAGGAGAAUACAAAGAGGAAAGGUCAUAUGAGUCUUUAGACGUGUCCGACGGGGCAUGUGGCCCAUGUUUCAAGUAGGGCCUAGUUAUUAGACCAACACAGCCCAACAGAUUUGGGCAUUUGUGCGGCCUGCCGUAAAACCUUUUUAGUUAUCCCCCCGAAAACCCCCGGCCCACCCCAAAACAAGAAGAAAGGAAAAUUGCAAGCAUCGUGGAAGUUUGAAUUAUUCGAGUGAAACUAACCGCUAUGUUACAAAGGGGUUGACGUUUUAAGUAGAUUAUAUUCUGCACGUAGUGAUCAGGGUACUGUAAAUAGUAAAUAGAGAGAAUGUUUUCACUUUGUUUAAACUGCUUAGCCGCACGCCUCUCAGGUGCAAUGAAAAACAAGGGCAGUAUCAUAUGGACUUCCAGCUUGAUCUAUCGGCAACAGCAUAUGCAUACUGCAUACCGCCCUUCAAAUUUAUUACGUGAAUGGCUCUAUCUUUUAUGUUUCUCAACGUGCAUUAUAAAGUUUCUACGAUGCCACAUACAUAUGCAUGUGUUACAUGAAAGUAGAACGCAUUCAAACGAUGUGUAAGUAUUUGGAUACCCGCUUCACUGGAAGGUUUAAAUUUUCAACCGUAAGGAUCAAGUCUUAACUGCGCGGUAAUGCAACCAUCUUAACAAAGAAAGGAGAUAGUACAGCUAAUUCUUCUGGAUCUCAAAAAGGAGUUUUGUUUAUUACUGUUUUGCAUCUGCAAAAUGGCUUUCACUAACUUCAGAAUGUUAUUCAGAAGCAGGAAGGCAGAUAUUUCUAGAUAAAUACUUGUCUCCAGACAAAGAAGGGAUCGGCUUUUGUGUUCAUUCAGUUGCCCCAGCCUGAAGAAACCUGCAUUUUGAAAAUCAACCACCUGACUCAAGAGUAGAGGCAGGACCAAAAAUUGCUUAAAAGUACCACAAAAAUUGGAUUCCAAAUCCAAAGCCAAGUACUUAAAGGUCUAAGAUACAAUAUACAUGAAUUAUUAUCCAUAUCUACUUGACUCUGGUCACUACAUCAGCGGAAAAAAAGAACAAUACAAUAUUACUAAUCUAACACAACUAGUUAAUUUAUUUUUGGAACCCAAAAAGGUGGAGAAUUUUGCAAUAAGAAUCAUUCGUAUGAGUUCCUCACUCCAUCUUCUUACACAUUUUAGCUCUGGAGAAAGGUCAAAUUAUGGGUAUGGCGAACUUUGCUGGUCUUCUAGAUUAGCUUGGGAAAGGUAAUAAGAAUGCAAUAAACGUGUCAAACAGGUCGUGCGGCCCAUCUGGGUCCCCGUCACAAGAAGCAGAAGUUAAGAUCCGGCAUGGCCCAAAAAGAAGGGGCACGGGGACAGCGCUGUGCUUGGCCCUGCUAGAAACCCCUCGGGUCAGCGUAACGAAAUUUGAUGUAUGUAUUGCGUUAAAUGGUGCUUAAUGAACAGUGACCUUCAAUAGCAACGGCAGCGAAUUCUGCAUAUUAACCUUCACUUUAAUGAGACAUUCUUGAACUCCAAUUGCUUCUCUAAAUUGCUGAAUUUCUUUCGAAGCGUUUAUGCGAAUGACCUAGUAAGUUGCUAAUAUUAACGUAUUCAAUUGGGUUUAUGCUGAAAAAAAUGAAAGCUUAAAGGAAAGACAAAAUUAGAAAUAACUCUAGGGCGGAGAGAAGAAAGGCAAGAGAGACACCAGGAUUUCAAGACAUUAGGAGGCCUGAUGCUCAUCAUUACAUAAAUUAAAUUUAUAAUAUAUUAUAUUUUUAAUCCAAAAAGCAUAUCUUGUCUCUUCCCGGAACAUUUUAGCCAAAUCCAUCAAUUAUCAAUAAUAAUUAUGUUUCUAAUAUAAUCAGAUUCUUCUUGACGAACUAAGAACUUAAUCCCAAGAAAAAAAAAAAAGUCCAUACAUAAGUUGGAGAACUGACAUAUUCUAAUACUUCAUCAUGGUGCCCCCCUGAGUAAUCAUGGGGUGGAUCGUUCAGUAUGAUAGAAUGUUGGUAGUGAAUUUUUGGUUGUAGCCAGCCACAGCUUCAGCAUUUGCUACCAAGAAUUUAAGAUAUGGAUGCAGUAGAAGAUUUUUAUUUCUACUUUGUAAUCAGGAAUCAGGAUGAUAGUUGAAGAGGAAAGUUGAUGCUAUUGAGUUUUGAGUUUUAAAACGAAAUUUUGCUGUAUACCAAGGUACCUUUCCCCAAUUUGGAGUGAUUUGUAUUUUUAAAAUUUUAAAAUUACUUUCAUCUACUAAAUUUAUCCAUCUAAUUCCUUCGAGUAUGCAAUAAAUUGUUUUGAAAAAUAUGCCAUCAAGUCUCAAGUUUAUGAGAUUUUGUGAUAUGCCUUCUUACGAUCACAACAGUGUGUAAGUAAAAUGAUGAACACGAUCUGGCUCUGCUAAGUCACCAGCAUUUGCUUGGCAUCACGUUCUGUGUCCGAGUAACCAAAUUCAUCAACACUUCCCAUCAAGCAAUUUGGGCAUGCUUAUACAACAUAGCCUCUUUCCUGUCAUUAGCUCAAUGAAGUAUCAGCCACUUGAGCAAAAGCUUUAGUCCAAUGCCCGCCCUGCAUUAGUGAAUCCUACUAACCGAUUUGAGUUCAUUGAUAAGGUUGCGUACUUUCCUAUACGAAGUUGCACCAUGAACUCUUCAUCAGAUAUAUCUCGACAACUCCACUCAAGUACUCAUUGGUGAAUCAGGGUCACAGGCCUUGCAUUUCUCAAAAACUCAACCACUGGAAGAGGAAGUGACCUACAGUAAACUGUGUGCAAAAUAUGCUGUAUCACAGAGAGUAAGCCUUGAGUAACCUCAUCGCAUUGUUUCACAAUCAUUGUCUUUUUGCGACAUUGUUGUCAAUUCGUGGUAGUCAAUGUUCUGCGAAAGCAUUAACAACUGAAUCAUCAUGUUACAUUACAGGUUUCCUAACCACACAAAAACUCGCAAAGAUUGUUUUCUGCUCAUUGUAAUCAGGAUAUACUAGUGAAGUGAAAAGUUGAUGCAGCGAGGAGUUUGACAUUCUAGAGGAAAUUUUGCCACUUAUCUUAAAUCUCUCAUCCGCUUGGACAGAACUUCUUGUAUUAUACCCAUUUUGCUCCCUUACAUAACAGAAAUAGUCUCUUGUUCAAAAUACUUAGCUUCUUACGAUCAUUGUAUCAUAAAUCUAUGAAGAAGAGCAAAUAAUUGAGACCAACAAUAAAGCUGUAAAACAUAUUAUCAGAUGGAAUUUUAGCUUGGUCUAUAAAUCACCAACAUUCUAAAGCAUACUGCCCUUCAUAUUCAAUGCCUGAAUCUUUCAUGUCUCUCAAGUUAUAGGACACAGGAUAUACAUCAGAUAUCUUGAAAGAAAUGUUGGAAUCAAAUUGAAAACCCAGACAUUCAUACCCGAAUAAGUAGAAUAGCUUCAAGUAACAUGCAGAACUAAUUGUCUAAUUAUAUAACCACUUCAUUCAAAUGUUCAGUAACAACAUUAUUUUUAAGUCAAGAUCUGCAACAGAAUGGCAGAGAGGAAAGUAAAGCCUAAAGCCUAGUGGUAGAAGCCAUAGAACAGGAUUUCAAAAGAAGAUGGAUUGGGCAACACGAGUCCAGAGCUUGCAGACAAUGGCAGUGGUGAUAUUGAGGGUGGGUGGAACAAAAUCGAAGAACAUAUAUACAAUUGUAGAGACCCUCUAUAUAUGUAGUCUAUGUAGAGCGACUGAUCUAUGAUCUUUCUCCAUGGCCUUGGGCCUCUGUCUCAAUCUCAUACUAUGCUGAGAACUUACAUCACAAAAUCAGUACAAAGUCUUUAAGUCAUAAGAGGAUGAAAAGGAAACCCUGGCUUGGUCCUAAGGGGAUGGUUAAAGUAAAGCCUUAAACCUAAUUGUGGAAGGCUUAGAUAUAGGCUUUCAAAAACCAUCAUGUCAGGUAUUAUUCCAAAACUUGCAGACUCAUCAACAUCUCAUGGCCUGGGGUGAAUGAAAUCAUAGAGUAUAAAGACUUGUGGAGACCCUAUAUAUAGUUUUCUAUCUAGGGCAAUUGAUCUACAAAUUUCUCCGUAGCCAUGGAGCUUCAUCUCCUACCAUGAAAUCUAAGGGACUAGCUCUGAUGAAGAUUCCCCUUGGAGCUAAUGAAAAAAAGGGAUUUGACAUGUAUCCUGUGCAGACUGCAGAACAAACUUAGCAAUGGUAUUAAACCCAGAACAUGCAUGGAUGAGAGGAAACAAUAAAAUAGAUUCAAGUGAGGUGCAGAACUAACUACGUUAAUUAGAUAACCACCUGACUCAAAAGUUCCAACAAGACCAAAGAUUGUUUCAAGCACCAUAUACAUUUGAUAGAAGGUCUAACAUACAAUAUACAUGAAUUACUACCGAUCUACUUAACUCUGGUCAGCAUUUAUACAAUAUUACAAAUCUAACACAGCUAGUUAAUUUUGGAACUCAAAAAGUUAGAAACUUUGUCUAUCAUUUCUGGCAAAGCAACUUGCCUUCAAGUACCUUCAGAGAGUUGUUAAUAAGCAGAGCCAAUCUUUCCAAAUCUGUAAACAAUGACAGAGUCAGCUCAGUCCUCACUGAGCAGUCACAGUUUGAUCCCUGAACAAACCAGCUUGAAAAUUUCAAGGAACGAGGCGCACGCCAGGAUUGACAAAGCUGAUGCUAGGGAAACCACCGAAAUUACGAAAUAACAUUUCUGAACUGUUGCAUGCUGCCUCUGGGAAUUGAUUCCGAUCAACAACCCGCUAGAUGCUGCGGCGAAGGAGAGCAUGACGGAGAACACCAGUGCGUGAAACAGAGAUGGGUGUGAUGCAAAUAGGAAAGCCGGCACUGGACAUCCAUUGACGUUUUGACGAGGAAGAAACAAGAUGAGUAAAGCGAUUGCCAAGGAGGCAUAGAAAAUGAAAAUUAACAACUGGGUCUGGGAUUUUUUUGGGCUUGAAGAAGAAAUUUUGCUGUAAGAAUUAUCGUGGGUACGAGUUUCUGAUUCGAUCUUCUGCUUCUCCGGAUCCAUUUGCAGGUCUUGUAUGGUCAAGAUAGGUCAAGAUAGGUCAAGAUAAGAUUGGAGAGAGGGGAGACCAAAAGGAAAGGUGAAAUGAGUCUUUACACGUGUCGAACCGAAGAUAUUGGACUCAGCCAAGGCCAACAGAUUCGUCUAUUUGGGCCGCCGGUGGUUAUCAAAUGGACUCUUUAAAUUAAAUAAAAGUAAAUUACACCAAAAAACUGAAAAAGGAAAAAAAAGUAAAGUAUAUUUCUUUAUCAUUCAUCAUAGAAGUUUCUGAUUUCGUACUAUGCUCUUCAUCGCAAUGUUGAUAUCUAGAGAAGGAUCCAUUUAUUAAAUUUAUCUAAUUUGAAUCAACAUGCUACUAAUAUCAUUGCCCUUGGUCAUUACUCGUUAUACAACAAGUCAAUCUCCGAGUUAUCUCUAUUCAAAUUUCUACAAUAAUAAUCUUCCUUGUGUUAGGUAUAGUCAUUUUAGAGCUAAAUGUUGCAGACCGCCCAAGUUGGUAGCUCAAUUUGCCCACCAAGAGCCCAAAACAAGGCCAAGAGUGUUAACUUGGCCCAAUUCCAGAAAGUUCUAGGCAACUCUAGCACAUUAAGCUUGUAAAUAUUUUAGAAUACUCUACACAUUUCCAGCAUAUGUAAAUAGCUAGGAAGUGGUAGAAUUUUCUAGAAUCUCUCAAGCUUGGCAAGCCUCCCCUAUAAAUAGGGCAUGGCAUUUAGCAUUUACACAACAAGCUUAGAGCAAGCAACUCAAACACUUGUAAGCUCUCUUGUAAGUAUUCUUGGGAGUAAUACAAUUUUCCUCAUUCGACUCCAUUGCUCUCUCCCCCCUAACUCUUCGAAAACCUCUAGGCUUAGCUAGUCGAGAAGCUCAAUGCUUACUUAGCAACAUUCGACAAAGUUGUUUAAGUGCCGCACGGGUUUGCUGCGCAAAACACUCAUCCCGUGACAAGUGGUAUCAGAGCUAAGGUUUGCACCAACGCAAGUUAACUCACGAGCAAUGGCCAACCCUUCAAAUCCAUCGCAAGAGGGUGUUGUUGGUAUGGAUGUUCCACCGGAACCAAGCCUCGGUCGUGAGGGAGAUCGCGCCCAAGGCAAGCGCGGCAAGUCCAAGGCCUCAUAUCCGUGGAUGCGUUGGAGCCUCGUGUAAGCACUCUCGAAAUCGCAUUGUCCGCCGCUCAAGAUAGCCUCGAGGGAUUAGAGGAAAGAGUGGACGGUCUCAAAGGAGAAUACGCCGAGUUCACGGUGGCGACUAAAGCCCUCAUCUAAGAGCAAGCGAACACUCUUCGAUGUGCGUUUCGAUCCUUUCAUGAUGAGUUGCUUAAACUUUGUAGCUUUGUUCAGGAUGAACUACGCACUGUCCGUGCGGAAGUGGAUGAAGUCCGCUCGGAUUGGGCAUCGUACAAGUGCACACUCUCCACUAGUCCAACUUCCGCAAGCACGAGUGAUGUGCGAUGCAUUGACGUGCCAAAGCCCGACACCUACGAUGGCACACGCAAUGCCACCAUCUUGGACAAUUUCCUCUUUGGGCUUGAUCAAUAUUUCGAUGCCAUGGGUGUUUGAGACGAGGCAUCAAAAGUGGGCACUACACCCACCUAUCUUCGAGGGGCUGCACAACUAUGGUGGCAUCGCAAUCAUGACGAGAUGGGCAAGGGCAUUUGCACCAUCGACACUUGGGCCGACUUAAAGCAAGAACUCCGAAAGCAGUUCGCCCCAAGCAAUGCAGAGAAAGAAGCGCGAGCGCGCCUACGUCACCUCAAGCAAUCGGGUAGCAUUCGGGACUACAUCAACGAGUUCACUACCCUUAUGUUGGAGAUAAGCGACAUGUCCAACAAGGAUUCGCUCUUCUACUUCUAAGAUGGCCUCAAGGAUUGGGCCAAGACCGAGCUCGAUAGGCGGGGUGUUCAAACACUUGACAAUGUCAUCGCCGUUGCGGAGUCGCUCACCGAAUACUCUACCCAAUCCAAAGAUAAGAAGUCUAGCCAAAGUAAAUGUAGGGGAGAGAGUCACAAGGACAAGGGCAACAACCGCAAAGAUUGAGGGUAGAAAAAGCCGCCUAGCAACAAGAGCGGGCAAGGCAAAACGGAGGGCAAGAAAGAGGCGCCAAAGCCACGCAGCCCAUACUUCAUAUGCAACGGUCCUCAUUGGGUAUGCGACUGUCCGGAGAAGAAGUCGCUCAAUGCUCUCGCAGCCCAACUCAAGAACAACCCCACAAUGUCCGCGGAGAAACCCCAACUCAGCAUGGGUUCUCUCCAACCCCUUGGCGCACUCAACUGCCAACAACCCACAUUCACGAAGAAAGGGCUCAUGUAUGUAAGCGCAAAGAUAAACGGUCAGUCCGUUCGCGCACUGCUAGACACGGGAGUGACGCACAACUUUGUGUCCGUAGAUGAAGCCAAGCGCCUAGGCCUCAAGGCCACUCAGGAAGAAGGCACGAUGAAAGCGGUGAACUCGCUCGCCAAGCCAAUUACAGGUAUUGCACAAGGCGUGCACAUAAUACUCGGAACAUGGAGCGGAAAAUUUGAUUUCUCUAUUGUGCCCAUGGACGACUUCAAGAUGGUCCUCGGCAUGGAAUUCUUCGACCAAGUCCAUGCCUUCCCGCUGCCUGCUACAAACUCCCUAAGCAUCCUCGACGGGAGUAAUGCAUGCAUGAUUCCCACCAAGCGUGGCAAGACCGAGGAGAAGACACUCUCGGCUAUGUAAUUCAAAAGGGCUUUCAAGAAUGACCCAAGCUUCUUGGUCUCCAUUCGUUAACUAAACGAGGAAGGAGAUUGCAGAAAAUUGCCAAGCCAAGUCCCUCCGCGAAUACAAGUCGUCCUUAAUGAGUUCAAGGAUGUGAUGCCUCCUGAACUUCCAAAGAAGCUCCCACCUCGAUGAGAGGUAGAUCAUGCGAUCGAACUGAAACAAGGCGUGAAGCCACCAGCCUUGGCGCCCUACUGCAUGGCGCCACCCGAACUUAAGGAGUUGCGGAGACAACUCAAAGACUUGCUGGACGCAAGUUAUGUUCGCCGCUCUAAGGCCCUAUUCGGUGCACCUGUACUCUUCUAAAAGAAGAAAGAUGGCUCGCUGCGGAUGUGCAUCGACUAUAGAGCGCUCAACAAGAUCACCAUCAAGAACAAAUAUCUGAUUCCCUUGAUCGCGGACUUGUUUGACCAGCUUGGCAAAGCGCGGUACUUCACCAAACUCGACUUGCGCUCCGAGUACUACCAAGUGCGCAUCGCCAAGGAAGACGAACCGAAGACAGCGUGCACAACAAGGUACGGGUCUUUCGAAUUCCUUGUGAUGCCUUUAGGCCUUACUAAUGCACCCGUGACAUUUUGCACACUCAUGAACAAGGUGCUCCAACCAUUCAUCGACCGCUUUGUGGUCAUGUACUUGGACGACAUCGUGGUGUAUAGCACCACGCUCGAGGGGCAUGCCCAACACUUGCGACAAUUCCUCCAAGUACUUCGAGAGACAAUGAGCUCUUCAUUAAGAUGGAGAAGUGCUCGUUUACCCAACAAGAAGUGAAGUUCCUUGGCCACAAGAUUACGGGCGGGAAGCUUAUGAUGGAGAAUGCCAAGGUGAAGGUCAUCCUCAAAUGGGAACCUCCCACGAAAGUGCUCGAGCUCCGCUCAUUCCUUGGGCUGGUGAAUUACUACCGUCGCUUCAUCAAGGGUUACUCAGCGAAGGAGGUACUUUUAACGGAUUUGCUCAAGAAAAAUAGAACGUGGCAUUGGUCCGAAGAAAGCCAACACACAUUUGAGGAGUUAAAGAAGGCAAUUUCAGAGGAAUUGGUCCUCACUCUUCCGGACCACACAAAGCCCUUCAAAGUUCAAAUGGAUGCCUCGGAUUUCGCCAUAAGUAGAGUCCUUAUGCAAGAAGGCCGCUCCAUAGCGUUCGAGAGUCGGAAGCUGAAUGAUUCGGAACGCUGUUACACAGUGCAAGAGAAGAAAAUUACCGCAAUCAUACAUUGUUUGCGGGUGUGGCGACACUACUUACUUGGCUCACACUUCAUGAUUAUGACGGAAAAUAUGGCGACAAGUUACUUUCAAACACAAAAGAAGUUGAGUCCAAAGCAAGCACGGUGGCAAGAUUUUCUAACGGAAUUCGACUAUCGGCUCGAGUACAAACUGGGGAAAGCCAAUGUCGUUGCGGACGCUCUAAACCACAAGGCGGAAUUGACAACACUUAGCAUGAGCCAACCGAAGUCCAACCUUAUCUCCCGCAUCAAGGAAGGCCUCCAACAAGAUCCACUAGUAAAGCACUUGCUGGAGAAGGUGCUCGAGGGGAAGACAAGGCGCUUUUGGCAAGAGCAAUGCAUCCUCCUCACCAAGGAAGAUCGGCUGUUCGUGCCAAGGUGGGGAAAUUUACGGAAGGAAGUUAUCAAAGAGUGCCACAACUCCAAGUGGGCUAGUCACCCAGGAAUUGAGCGUACCACCGCACUAGUCCAAGUCUCGUAUUUUUUGCCGCACAUGAGGAACGACAUCGAGGCAUAUGUGCGAACUUGUCUUGUGUGCCAACAAGACAAAGUGGAUCAUCAACUUCCAGCAGGAUUAUUGGAACCGCUACCACUCGCAACAAGGCCAUGGGAGAGUGUCUCCAUGGACUUCAUCACAUCGUUGCCCAAGUCCGAAGGUGGUGGUAGCAUCAUGGUCGUUGUUGACCGUUACAACAAGUACGCCACUUUCAUUGUCGCACCAGCCGAUUGCAAAGCGGACGAAGCAGCCCGCCUAUUCGUCAAACACAUUGUGAAGUUUUGGGGAGUUCCAAAGAGCAUUGUGAGCGACCGAGACACUCGGUUCAAUGAGCGUUUUUGGACGAAACUCUUUAAGAUGUUGGGGACUAAUCUCAAGUUCUCGACAAGCUUUCACCCACAAAAGGAUGGGUAGACAAAGCGCAUCAAUGGCCUCCUCGAGAUGUACUUGAGACAUUAUGUGAGCGCUCAUCAGCGGGAUUGGGCAAAACUACUCGACAUCGCCCAAUUUUCUUAUAACUUGCAGCGAAGUGAAGUUACGGGCAAGAGUCCGUUCGAGAUCAUCAUGGGAUUCCAACCCAUGACCCCCAACGCCAUAGCCUCAACUUAUAGAGGAAAAAGCCCCGCGACACACAAGCUCGCCCGCGAAUGGCACGAGGAAGAUGACAUCACGCGAGCUUACCUCGACAAAGCCGCGAGGAAGAUGAAAAAGUGGGCGGAUACAAGGAGACGACAUGUUGAGUACAAAGAAGGUGAUCAACUCAUGAUCAAACUCCUAACCCAACAAUUCAAGACGUUGCAGAAAGUCCACAAGGGGUUAGUGAGGCGCUACGAAGGACCUUUUCAAGUUGUACGAUGUGUGGGCAACGUCUCAUAUCAACUCCAACUUUCGCCAAGACUCAAGAUCCAUCCGGUCUUCCAUGUGAGCCUUCUCAAGCCAUACCACGGAGAUGUGGAAGACCCAAGUCGUGGAGAAUCAAGGCGCACGCCAACCGUCGUUGUCACCUCGUUCGACAAAGAUAUAGACUACAUCCUUGCGGAUCGUGUGGUUUCGAUGAGAGGCGUGCCACCACAUAACGAGUACUUAGUGAAGUGGAAAAACCUCCCCGAGAGUGAAGCCACUUGGGAAUGAGAAGAUGAUUUGUGGCAAUUCGCUGAGCACAUCCAGAAUUUCAAGCACGAGAGCGCGACGAGGACGCAACGAGCUUAAGUGGGGGAGGAUAUUGCGGACCGCCCAAGUUGGUAGCUCAAUUUGCCCACCAAGAGCCCAAAACAAGGCCAAGAGUGCUAGCUUGGCCCAAUUCCAGAAAGUUCUAAGCAACUCUAGCACAUUGAGCUUGUAAAUACUUUAGAAUACUCCAUACAUUUCCAGCACAUGUAAAUAGCUAGGAAGUGGUAGAAUUCUUUGAAUCUUUAGAGCUUGGCAAGCCUCCCCUAUAAAUAGGGCAUGGCAUUUAGCAUUUACACAACAAGCUUAGAGCAAGCAACUCAAACACUUGUAAGCUCUCUUGUAAGCAUUCUUGUGGGUAAUACAAUUUUCCUCAUUCGGCUCCAUUGCUCUCUUCCCCCUAACUCUUCGAAAACCUCUAGGCUUAGCUAGUCGAGAAGCUCAAGGUUUACUUAGCAACAUUCGACAAAGUUGUCUAAGUGCCGCACGGGUUUGCUACGCAAAACACUCAUCCCGUGACAUAAAGAUAUCUUUCAAAGAAGAUGAUCCGGGGUUGUAAAGUCCAAAGGAAGCUCUCGAUCAUUCAGAAAUUACAUAAGAAUAUAUCCAUGAGGAAUUUCUACGUUGACAUUAUUUGGGCCCAUAAUUCUUUGUAAUCUGUGCUAGCAAAUUUCCUGCUAAAGGAAUUGAGCAACCAAUAACAUUGUUCCAAGCAAUACGCUUUUAGCAAUAGCAAGAUCUUAUCAGCCAAUGCUAGCAUUCUCUUGUCAUCUGUGACGUGGCAUAACUUUAGUGAAACAAAGACGACUUGGUUCAUGAGCAGUAGCAUGCCCUUGACAUUCUUCCGCUCUUAUGUGUUGUACUUCAACUCCAAUGGUUUCUUCAUGUUGCUGAAAAUUUUCUAUGGAAGUUGCUUAUUGUGAAAAGUUAUUAUUUAGGAAGUUGUUAUCUGGACUUGCAAAACUGAUGAUGAAUUUCACAUGUUAUUGCUUAUCUGAUGUGUAUGCUUACCGAUGAACUAGAUCUUGGCUAUUGCAUGAUGAUUUAUUGUACAUAUUUACUUGACGAAUAGAAGCUACUGAUGAUCAUGUCAGAACUAGUGGUGAUAUAUGUGCUGCUCUCCGCCAUUCCUGGUUCUAAAUUUUCAAAUAGCGCUAAGAAUUUAUUAUGUCAUAAGAGAGUGGUCAAUGUGGAGUUGAAUCAUGACAAAUUAAGUCCAUAGUUGAUUAGAUACAUAAUACUUAUGUGCAUUUUUUAGUUAUACCAUUAGGUAUCAGCUGGGUCAUCAUAGGAUUGAAUUAAUAUGUCCUUUGCGGCUAUGGAUUUUCUCCAAUAUAAGGGUUUUCCCUAUAAAUUCUUGUGUUGUGUGAUUGGUUUUAUUCUCCACCUAUUUUUUAUUUAUUAUUUGUUUGAUAUUUUUACUUGCAAGAUCUUGAGUGAGAUUAAAAUUUCUUAAUAAGUAUUAUUAGAGCUAAGUUAUUCUACAAAGAAAUUAUGUCUUCAAACAAAUUUUCAAAUCCUGUGAGGAUUAAGGUUGAAGUUUGAAGGAAGAAUCAAUUUUAGCUUGUGACAAGUUCAAGUCAAGAAUAUAUUAAUUCAAUCUAAUUAUACAAGAAAAGCAAGGACAAUAUAAACCCUCUUCCUACUUGGGGAAAUCCUUGGAGGUGUGUAGACAAUCAAGGCUCUUUAAAGAAGAUUGUUAGAAUAAAGGAAGUUUAGAAAAUAGCUAUAAAUCAAUAGAUGCAGAUGCAGAUAAUGUCAACUAGUGGUGUGUCUCUUUUCUCCAUGGGAGAUUAGUUUAUCCUUUCUGGUGUUCCAUGGAAGAGGAUGUGUUACUAGUAGCAGUUCCAUAAGAUUUGCACACAAGGUAUGGUUUGGCAUUUAUGUGAGUUGUGGUGAAAUUUUUAUGUUGAUGGUUGAGGACUUCGAAUGAAACCAAACAUGAGAGUAGGUAUUUUCAAUAAAGUGAAUGACAUGUGUCGAAUAUGUAUACUAUAGAUAAGGUGCAAUUUGAUAAUUCUCGGUAUAAAGAGUUAUGGCUUCUAGAUAAAGGACAAAAUUUUACUUAUGGUAGAGUGAUCCUCAUAAGUCCUAUGUGAGUGUGGUUUUGGUGGCGUAAAAAACGUGGAGACGAAGUAGUUGUGUGGAUAUACAGUAGAUCAUGUUUUGCUGCUUAAUUGAAAAACUCACCAAGGUAGAGGUUAUUAAGAAAUAUAAUACUAUUUUUCAAUAAUGAUUUCAUAAGAUAUUUUCUUCUUUAGUAUGAUUUUUAUUUAAAGAAUAAGUAAUUUCACCUUUAAGACUUGAUUUAUUCAAGGACGAGUAGAACUAAUAUAAGAAAAAGGAAUCCUUUUCUUAUAAAAUAAUCACUAUAUUCUAUAUAUAGGGAGAUUGACUUUACUUAUAUAACACACAAAUCAGUUCUCUGUAAGUAGAUAAUUUCUACUAUGAGAAAAACAGUGAGUCUAUUAAGAGAUUGUGCGUUAUUGAGUUUUUGGGUAUUAUUAAGAUUUUGGGCGUGAGAAAAAUACUAGAAUGAUUGUAAUAAUUUUUUACAUAAUAGAUCUUUCUCUCGUCAUCUUUGGCAACUGUGGUUUUUUUUCCUAUUAUUUACUUGAUAUUUUUGCUUGCAAGAUUUUAGGUGAAAUUAAAAUUUCCUAAAAAUAUGGGGUUGAAAAUUGAUUAAAAAAAUUGCCAACAUUCCAUAGGUCAACAAGAGUGGAGUCACACUCAAAGCAAAUUCGGGAGAGUGGGCGCCAUGUUUCCUUGUUUUGACAAAAGUAAGAGAGUAAGAUCAAGCAUUUGUUGCUUUAAAAUUGCUUCCUGUUUUGUUUUGGUGCCGCAUUCGCUGAAUGUUGAAGUCGAAAUUUUUGAUUUAUAAAGCCAUUGUUUGGCUAUAAAAGGAGGGCUCUCUUCGAAGCUCUAUGUCCCAAUUGAGAGCAUUCAUUUGAUAAAUGCAAGAGAAGCAUUCGGUGUUCUUAAAAUAAAGAGAAAUAUUCUUAAGUAUGCAGUUAUACUGUCAGAGCAUUUGGCUCCUCAAUAUUGGUAUUACCGGUUUUCUUUGUUAAAGAGUAUUUCUCGGGAUUAUGUAACCAAACUGAGAGAUCCAAGUAUGAAGCAUAUGAAGAGAAAUAAAAAUUCUCUUAUUAAGUUUUGAAAAAGUAAUUAAUAUUGUGGAAGCCUUUGGCUCCUGCAGUAUGAACAUAUGUAAACUUAGGUAGAAGAUUUUUUUCCCCUUUUUAGAUGCUCUCAUUGGGUGUAAGUGGAGUUUGGUUGAGAGGAAAAUUAUUGAGAGUUGUAAUAAUUUUCUAAAUAAUAAAUUUUUUUUCUAGUUAUCUUUUAACAACAGUCGUGGUUUUUUUUCUCUGGAUUUAGAAUUUUAAACCUCCUGUUAUAUGAUUAGUAUUAUUCUCUAUUUAAUUUUUAUAUUAUUAUUUGCUUGACAUAAUAUUUGUGGAGAUCUUCGGAGGGGAUAAUAAAUUCUGCAAUACGUGUAAAAGUAAAAUAAAAUCAAAUGAAAUGAGAAUUUUUUUCAUUUAAUUAAUCCUGUUUCUAACACAUAUAGUAACAAGGGUUUCAAGUAACUUCAGAAAUUUCCUGAGAAGCAGGGCAGAUUUUUCUGAAUACCUGAAAUACAUAGCUGCGUACGAAGAAAGAAUCUGCUUCAUCCUCAUUCAGCUGCCACAACUUGAAACCGGAAGAAAACAUCCUGAAAAUUUCAAGAAACACCGUACAGGACAGUAUUAAUAAGGUUGAUGCCACAGACACCAUGGAAAUUCCGAAAUAACAUCUCCAAGCUGUUACAUGCCCAGAAAAGUUUCUGAUCAACAACGCGCCAGAUGCUCCGGAGAAUGACAUAAUGACGGCAGUUAUUAGGGCAUGAAACAAAUUUGGGUGCCCAACAAAUAUUUUCAAAUCCGGCACAAGAUUUCCAUCUAUGUUUUCGUAUGGAAGAAACCAUACAAUUGAAGCAAUGGAGAUGCAGAAUCCCAAAAUAAAUUCUGGAAACUUGUUUAAGGAUUCUUGGUCAGCUGGAUGUGCUUCUGAAUCCAUCUUCUUACUCUUAAGAAUCAUAUUAGUUGUGCAGGAAAAAAGGAAAAAAAAGAAAAUUGUGGUGAAUUUUUUGGUUCUUGUAUGUAUAUCUGAACUGAUCUUGGCUUCUAGAUUGGAUUGGAGAGAGAAACAGAGACACGGAGAGAGGAAGACGAAAUUUAAGUGUUUGUUAAUUGAACUACGUUAUGUGUGCUUUGGAUUCAACUCCUCAGAAAAUUGCAUCUGACCAAUCUUCAUUAUCGUUAUUAUUAUUAUUAUUUUUUAUCUUCUGUCUAGGCUCGGCUGUCAUGCUGUGGAAGAGGAUUAUGCCGACUUUAUACUGUCCCACGUGUGUACAUUACCUUGGAUAUGGCGUUGGUUUUUGUUUUCAUUCAAUUUCAGAAAUUUACUCUCCACAUACUCUGUAUGGUUAUUGUUGUCAUAUGCUAGUUUGUUAAUUUUCUUGAGACUGCUCUGUGCCAUCUCUCCUGCGACAUUUUUCUUGUCAAACUAAUUUUUCUUGUCUAACUCACUUCAAUAUUUUUGGUUUCUCAUCAACAGUCUUUGAUUCAGUGAAGAACUUUACUCUAGCAAGAUCUGUCCGGCUUGUUAUGCUUCUGAUGAUCAGUAAGUAAUUGACUUGUUUAUUUACUAGUAACAAAGUGGAUUUGACAUUAAAGAUUUUGUUUUUCCUCAAUUUUCAUCCUUAUGAUGUUAGGAUUUCUGAUAUUUGAAAAAGAUUUGAGAUUUGAAUUUUGUUUUGAGAAACAUUUUGCACAAGAUAUGUUCCAUAUAGGAGGUAGGUUUCAUUUAUAUACAACUUUGUUACUAAUUUAGUAUAACAGUGAGUGUUGGAACGACAACAAAUUUCUAGGCUUUAUGAGUUUAAAUGUUUGAACACCCGUAUAUAUUGUGCUUUCAUGUCUACUUCACAGAUUUAGAACUUGCACAAGUUGUGAUUUAUUGCUUUGUGUUGUGUUUGUUUACUGAUUUUAGAUAACUGAAUUAGGUUGAUUUUAUUCAAGUUCUUAGAAGAAGAUAUGAUAUUUGGCCAGAACAAUUGGGCAUAAUCCAUUUAAAGGACGAGAAUCAAAAUAACAUGCAAAUUGUAACGAACCCACAAGAUGUGGGAUCCUAACACGUAUUUAUCAUUUUUCUUUUGAUCUCUCACACACACGGCAUCAGAUUCUGAUAAAUCAAUGGCGGCUUCUGUGGACCACUCCGCAUGUGAAACUGACAAUCCAUUGCUCAGACUUCGUCCUAAGAAGAGGUUCGUAGGUGUGAGGCAGAGGCCUUCGGGAAGGUGGGUAGCGGAGAUAAAGGAUUCAACUCAGGGAGUACGACUAUGGCUGGGAACCUAUGAUAGACCUGAGGAUGCUGCGUUGGCUUAUGAUGAAGCCGCUUGUGCACUGCGCGGCCCGAGAGCCAGACUUAAUUUUCCUCGUCUCCUUAACCAGGUACCAGCAGAUGCUGUCAGAAAGAAGCGUUAUCAGCCAAUUAGUGGAGAAGCUGCUUUUAGAAGCUGGCUACUAGAGAAGAGCUCGUGGUAUGGCGGUGGCCAUCAAGUCUCUAUUUGCGAGAAAAGGUCCCUUGUUGGGGACAGCUCUCGCAAGUUACAGUUGCGGGAACUAUUUUCACCUGCUGACAUUAAUGAACCAGCCGAUGCCUUCAGAAAGAAGAUAAAGCCAUUUUAUGCAGGAUCACAUUCCGAAUUUCAAUCUAUGCGGCCUUAUGACGGACAAACUGUCUUUACAAGCUGGCACUUCGGAGAGAGCUCGCAGCACCACAGAGGUACAGGAAAGAUCUCUAUAUGCAAGAAAAAGUGCCUUGAUGGGGAGAGUGUGCUCCUGAAAGCUAAAGGACUGGCGGACGUUAGAAAGAAGGUCCAGGCAAUUUGUGGAGGGUGUCCUCUUGAAUUUCUUUGUGCCCCGCCAGCGACUUCUUUUAGUAUCCGACAGGGUGAGGGGAGCUCUCAGGAACACAUGAUAAUCCAAGUUGAUCAUGAUUCGGCUAGUUCAAUUAAGCUGGCCUCAAGCUCAUUGAAUGAGAAUGCAUCAUCGUCUGCUUCCGAUCAUCAGAGCGUAAGGGCUUCUGCUUUGCCUGAAGACAGAGACAUUGAGACUAGAGCAGCCCUCUCUCGGGCUCAAAGUAUGAGCGAAAAACUGCCAUUUGAUGUCAAUAAACUGAACAAGAUUAUACUCUUGCUCUCAACUGAAGAGUGUCUCGCCUUGUUGGCAAUUUUGUUUUCGGGCGGCUCGUCUCUGUCUACCAAUGCAAGAAUUCUCAUGCGCGGGGCGGGAAUCUGCAGUGCUGUGGGAUUUUAUUCCAGCUUGGGCAGCUCUGUCUUAAAAUAUAUUGGCAAAGCUGAACAGACUGCUCCAUUUCUGACGGCAGUAGGAUGUGUCGCUGCCGCCUGUGGAUUUACUUCAGUUUCUUGCUUAUUUUUGCCCGAUAAACUCAAGUUAAUUUUUGCUUGUGUUGCCUGUGUGAUGAACAUACUUGUUCUUCCAUUUCUUUUUAUAUAGGGCUUAGCUGCAAGUCCAUAGUUGAUUACACAGAUAAUCUUCAUGAGAAUUCUCAGUUCUUGUAAAUUUCUUCUGUUGCAAGUUAAUUACCACAUGACUCCAGUAGAUUAAAUCAAAACUUUUUGUACUGGGGAUUUUGAUCUUGCUCAAAUCACACUAGUACAAGAUUAUUUAAUGCUCCUUGUAUUCAAAAUAAAUAAGAUUAUUUGAGAUUUGGCAGGAAAUUUUUCUGUUCAUCUGAAAUCUUCCCCCAUUUUGGAGUGGAAAUAGUGAAAAAAAAGUAUUAAGGACUAUAUAAGAAAACCGAAACGCAGACAUUAUAUACUAUUUAGAAUUUUGUCUCAUUAAUCACUUGCCUGAAUCUUUUAUGUUAAAAAGUGGAUCAGAUUGCCAUGUAGUGUUUAAUUACAUGAAAUCAGAUCAGAAAACUCCAAUAACUUAGAGGCUAUAUUUUCCAUGAAUACUGUUUAUUACAUGGUAAAAUGAGUUUCAAGUAAUUUCAGAGAUUUCCGGAAUAUCAGGACAGAAUUUUCGGAAUACCUGAAAUACGUAGUUGCGGCGGAAAAGGAAAGAACCUGAUGCAUGCCCUGAAAGUAUCUGAUCAACAAAGCGCCAGAUGCUCCAGAGAAUGAAAAAAUGACGGCGAUUAUUAGGGCAUGAAACAAAUUUGGGUGUUCAGUAAAUAUCCUCAAAGCAGGAACAAGAUUUCAUCUAUGUAUUCACGAGGAAGAAACCAAACGCAUGAAGCAAUUAAAAAGCUGAAUCCCAAAAUAAAAGCUGGAAACUUGUUACAGGAUUCUUGGUGAGCGGCUUUGGAGUCCAGCUUCUUGAUCUCAUGCUUCAUUUUGGUUGUGCAGAAAAAAAGAAAAUUAUGUUGAAUAUAUUGGUUUUGUAUGUAAAUGUUAGCUUGUUUUGGCUUCUCGAUUGGAUAGGACAGAGAGAGACAGAGUGAGGGAAACUUUAAUCUUAAACGAACUUUAAUAUGGGGUUAGGUUUGCUUUGGGUUCAGUUUCACAGAAAAUUACAUCAAUCUGAUCUUUAUUUUUUCAUUUUAGUCUUUGCUUCUGUUCUCUCCCAUGGAAAUCAGAAUACCCUUUUCAUUAUGCCACUUUCAAAAAUUUGUUUGUUGAUCUUGAACCGGGGAUUAGGUUGUUUUCAUUAAAUUUCUUAGAAAUUUACUUUCAACUUAUCUCCCACGAGAAAUCAAAAUCCUAUUUUUGUUGUUGCCUUUACACCACACUAGAGACUAUUUAUGCAAGGUUUUUACUGAGGACCUCCAUCCUGCAGAGAAAAUUGGAAACAGGAUAGUGAAUGAUCCUGCAAUUAGCCUAUUUUCCAAAGAAAAGCUCUCUCCUUGCAAGAAAAAGUCACUUGCAGUGGGGAGCUCUCAAAAGUCACAGUUUCCGGUACUACAUGAUCCUCCCAAGAAGCUCAAGGAAUUUUUUGGAGGAUCUCAUCUUUAUGAUGAAGCAACUGCUUUUACAAGCUGGCACUUUGGGGAGAGCUCUGAAGACGAUGGCGAUCAGAUGGUCCAUAUAAUCCAAGUUGAUCAUCUAGGUCAUGAUGAUCGCGACUCUGCUAGUUCAAAACCAAUACAGCUAGUCUCACCAGCACUGUCUGAUUUACAAGCCUGCGCUCAAUUUCAAGGUAACAAGCCAAGUGGUUUCGUGGAAUUUAUGUCAGAGAAUGAAGCUCCAGCUGCUAGUUUGAAUGAGACUGUCAACGGCACUACUCAGAACAAAAGCUUUGUAGGAAUAUUGAAGAAAACAAGAGAGCCCAGAUAUGAUUUUCAAACAAGCAGCGAAAUUGAUAUACUUGAUGAUGGUUAUAGAUGGAGAAAGUAUGGCCAAAAGAGAGAUAAGAAGAUAAGACCUUAUUAUCAUGCCCAAUGGUAUGCCCAAAAAGCAGUGCGAAACACCAGACCUCCUAGGUAAAUAUCUUCCUUCUCUUGUCAUUUUUGUUCCUCUCUUUAUUUCAUUUUUCUGUUUGCCUUUCAGCUUUUAGAAACUGCAUUACCAAAUACUUAUUAUUUGAUUAUUUGGCCUUACGAGUUCCUACUUCCAAAGUAAGGCCAAAAUCCAGAAUAUUAGGGGAGGAGACUAUAGAAAUUGAAUAAGUAAAGAAUUAAAGAUGUAAACGCAAAGCAGGGAAGUUUGAAGACUGAAUUUUUACCCAGCAUAACUUGUAUAAUAUUCACCAUUCUAAUAGAUACAAAAUGCAUUCUUCAUUGGCAAGGAAUACCCAGUAAAUUUGCAGCUGUAAUUCUAAUCUAAUGGCUAUGCCGUACUCAACAAUCUAAUUAUACUAUUCAAUGUCAGUUGGAGAGAACAAUGUAAAUUUGUCUUAAAGUAAUUCCUUAUUCUGGUCCAUGAGCUAUCUAGAGAAUUAAUGUGUAUGCUGAUUCAUCCUUAUUAGUAGCCACUUUCUGCUGAGUCCGUUUCCAUUCCGAUGCAUGCUGGACAGAGAGUGUUGAGCAGCUGAAUUCAAACACUUGUGGAAAGAAAACGGCAGCGUUUUGUAAAUGUUUGAGCUGCUUGGAAAUCACGUGAAUGAAGCAUGAUUAUUUAAACUUGCAACGGCAACUGAAGCGGUCGUUUUGCCUAUGACAGUUUUUCAUUUGUCACGUGACUUGUCACUUGAAUGCUUAAGUGAACUCAAGGUCGUUAUAACGACUUUUACACGUGGCCAAAUCCUGUACAUUCUGGGUUUACAGAUCGUUAAGCAGCUGUUGUAUAAAGGGGAGUUAGCAAGCUCAUUCUGGGAUCAUUCUAGAGAGUUCCAGUGAGAGAUUUGUGAGUAAGAAAGCUUUUUCUUGAGCUCUGUAAUCUUCACUUCAGUUUUUAUAAUCUUCUUCUUUGAAUCAAUCAAUAAAGCCAGCUCUGAUGUUUUACCCGUGGACGUAGGUCACUCGAAGACCGAACCACGUAACAUUGUGUUCUUGUUGAGCUUUUGAUUUGUGCUCUGUGUUUCAUUUAGAUCCAGUUUGUGUUCUUGAUUGUAUUGAGUUGUUUAGAUUGUUUUUUAUCUACUUUGAUUAAUCUUCGAGUCCUGAAUGCAACUUGUAAUGAUCUUGGAUUGAGAUCUUGGGCGGAGAUUUGCUUUAGUUGAUGUUUAUACUGAGCAAACUCUACAGAGAGCUUAUGCUGAGGUUCAUGCUGAGAAUGCUCAUAGAGGCAUUUCAUCGAGCAGCUUGUCUAUUCUAACAGUUCAUGCUUGCAGGAUUGGUUUUAUUAUUUUCAAACUAAAUUAUUUCAAUGGGAGAAUUAUAAUAAUUAACUUUGUCAUCAAUAUCCCAUAUUUUAUUAGAAGGAUCACUUCAAGUGGCCAUAUUUAGAAAGUAGGAAUAUUAAAGAUGAUACGAAGCAGCAGCUAUAUAAAAGACUUUCAAUAUUAACGGCUAACCAGGCAGAAGUAUAUCAGAUUUCUAUCACAAAUUUAGUAGCUGUGACUAAUUCUGUUAACAUUUCUUGAGAUCAAUGGGUGACUUGAGUGACUAAUUAAUUAAUCACUAAUAAGCACUUGAUGCAGUUAAUUGUUUUUUAGUCUCUUCCUCAUCAAGGAUUCCGUGUUUUUAGAGUCUAUUUUACAAGUUUUUGAGAUUGGUUUUGUUAGGGGUUAGCCACUGGAUAUGCUUUUUCUUGUCAGUUGAAAAUACUUUGGAUUAACCAUUCUGAAAAUAUUCUUAGACAGAGGCAAUUCAAAGAACUUUUACGAAGAAUCUGAUCACGAAUUUCUUGGAGUGCCGCUUGGUGUUGGGGUAACUGCUUUCGGAAUCAGGCGGCACCUUGGGUGGAGGGCUCAGGGUCGUGGCGGUGAGGUCCAUACAAUCCAAGUUGAUCACAACUUUGCUCGUUCAAUACAACUCAUGUCACCAGCAUUGAUUGAAAAAACAUCAUCCGCUUCUAAUCAUCAGAGCAUAAGAGCUUCUGCUCCGCCUGAAGAUAGAGACGGUAUGAAUAAAGAACUACCAUUCGAUAUAGUUAAACUGGCCAAGAUGUUCCUCUUGAUCUCAACCGAAGGGGAUCUAGCUUUAUUGGCAAUUUGGUUUAGUGUGGGCACUUCUUUGUCCGCCAAUGCAAGAAUUCUCUUGCGUGGGGCGGGGAUCUGCAGUGCCGUUGGGUUUCAUUCCAGCCUGGGCAGUCAUGGCUUACAAUGUAGCCGUAAAGCUGAACCGGCUGCUCGAUUUCUGACGGCACUAGGAGAUGUUGCUACUACCUGUGGAUUUACAUCUGUUUCCUGCUUAUUUUUGCCCGAAAAUUUGAUGUUAUUUUUUGCUGGUGUUAUUGGUAUUAUGAACAUAUUUAUUCUUCCUUUUCUUUUUAUAAGAAACAUUAAUUUUGAUUAACUUGUUCAGUUUAUUGAUAUCAAGUUUGAUGAGCCAUGGGGCAGUCAAUUUAUGAUUGUCAAUGAGGUGUUGAAGUCCAUAGUUGAUUGCAUAGAUGAUCUUUAUGAGCAAUUCUUAGUUAAACUAUAAGGCAUCUGCUGGGUCAUCAUUACUAGAUCAUAACAGGUUGUCGUUAUAUAUUUCUUUUGUUUCCAACUACACAUAACUCCAGCAUGAUAAUUCAAGAAUUUAUAACUGGCAUUUUGUCCUUUUUCAAAUUAUUUGGGAGGAAAUUUUGCCAUUCGUCUGAUUUUUUUCCCCCAAAUUUGGAGCCAAAAACUGGAUUAACAACUGUGCAAGGAAUUGUAAGACUGUUGUCCUUGCAAUUGAUUUCCUGAAUCAUUUAUGUUCCUGUGACAUCAGGUUUUUCUAUUGAGAAAUGCUGGAAUUAAAUACCCAAACAUGUAUGGAGUACAUGUAAAAGUGAGAUAAAAUCAAGUGAAAUGAUGCUAAAUGAAAAAUUCUCCAUUUCAUUAAUACUGUUUCUAACAUAGUAACAUGGCUUUCAAGUAAUUUCAGAGAUUUCCUGAGAAGCAGGACAGAUUUUUCUGAAUACCUGAAACAUAUGGCUGUGGAGAAACAAAGAAUCUGCUCCUUUCUCGUUCAACUGCCACAGCUUGAAACCUGAGGAAUCCAGCCUGACAAUUUCAAGAAACACCGUACAGGCGAGUAUUAAUAAAGCUGAUGCCACCGAAACCAAGGAAACUCCGAAAUAACAUCUCCAAGCUGUCGCAUGCCGGGAAAAGUUUCUUAUCAACAACGCGCCAGAUGCUCCGGAGAAUGACAAAAUCAGGGUGAUUACGAGGGCGUGAAACAAAACCGGGUGCUCAGUAAAUAUUUUCAAAUCCGGAACAAGAUCUCCAUCUAUGUUUUCAUGUGGAAGAAACCAUACAACUGAAGCAAUGGAGAUGCAGAAUCCCAGAAUAAGAGUUGUAAACUUGCUGAGGGAUUCUUGGUCAGCUGCAUGGGCUUCAGACUCCAUCUUUUUCAUCUCAAGCCUCAUUUUGGUUUUGCAGAAAGAAGAAAAUUAGGGUUAAUUUGUUGGUUUUUGUCUGUAUUUGGUCAACUGAUAUGAGCUUUUAGAUUGUAUUUGGUUAUAGAGAGAGAGAGAGAGAGAGUAAUGAAGAUGAUUCUCACUCAAAAGUCUUCCAUAGCUGCCCAACGCGGAAACUUUAAUCUUUGUUUAUUCAACUUGAUUAUGUGAUUAGGUUGCUUUGGAUUCAAUUUCUCAGAAAGUUACAUCUAACCAAUCUUUAUUAUUGUUAUCAUCAUUGUUUAUUUUUUCUUUUGUCUCGGCACGGCUGUGGAAGUGGAAUUUGC
rnacentral:lncRNA from 1 species